rnacentral:rRNA from 1 species
UGCCAGCCGCCGCGGUAAUACGGAGGGUGCGAGCGUUAAUCGGAAUUACUGGGCGUAAAGCGCGCGUAGGCGGCUAGGUCAGUCGAAUGUGAAAGCCCUGGGCUUAACCUGGGAAUUGCAUCCGAUACUGCUUGGCUAGAAUAUGGGAGAGGGAAGUGGAAUUUCCGGUGUAGCGGUGAAAUGCGUAGAUAUCGGAAGGAACACCAGUGGCGAAGGCGACUUCCUGGCCCAAUAUUGACGCUGAGGUGCGAAAGCGUGGGUAGCGAACAGGAUUAGAUA